rnacentral:rRNA from 1 species
UACGGGGGGGGCAAGCGUUGUUCGGAAUUACUGGGCGUAAAGGGCUCGUAGGCGGCCAACUAAGUCAGACGUGAAAUCCCCAGGCUCAACCUGGGAACUGCGUCUGAUACUGGAUGGCUUGAAUCCGGGAGAGGGAUGCAGAAUUCCAGGUGUAGCGGUGGAAUGCGUAGAUAUCGGGAGGAACACCAGUGGCGAAGGCGGCUUCCUGGACCGGUUCUGACACUGAGGAGCGAAAGCGUGGGGAGCGAUCCGG